UGAUGUAUUAGAAUAUAUAUAUAUAUAUAUAUAUAUAUACAAACCGUAAUGCAAAAAUGUAGAAUGAAUUUCAAAAUGUUCGUAAUGAUCGUCGGGUAGUAUUGAACUUGAAUGCUCGUAACUGUGGAAAUUCUGAUAGAAUAUAAGAGACGACAAAUAUUGUCAAGAAAUGCUAACUUUGAUGCUAGGCUUGUUGGCCAUGUUCAUUUGAACAAAACAUUGUAGAAAAGAUACGCAUGGCAUAAAUAACAAUAGUAACCUUGGAAACGAUGCUUAGUCUUCGUGAUAAGUACAGAUAAGUAGGUUUGAGAAGGGUGAUUUUGGUUGUAAUAAUAAGUCUUUGAAUGAAUAUAGUAUGCGUAUGAUAAUAUAUCGACCUCUCCUAAGAGCUUUAAGGUAAUCAGAAGUAAUGAUAGUAAUGUAAUGUUUAGGAUGGCUCAUAGUGAACAAAAUGAAAGAUUGUACAUGAUGUAUGAGUAGAAUGAAAUAAAUCGACUUAUUUCGAUGAAUGAAUGUAAUAUGCUUAAAUAGGAAGCUAGAAACAAGCCGCAAACCUAAGUCUAUACGAGUAAUAAUUGUAUACAAUUCGAAUAAAAUUCGAUGAAUGAAACACUAGUCAUGAUAUGUGCUAAGUACUGGUGUUAUAAAGUAAGAGGCACUAAUAAGAGCUCUGGAGCAGAAUCUAACAUAAGUAUUGUGAAUGAAUAACUUGAAAGGGUUAAGAGUAGAUUUGGUUUGGUUUGGUUUGAAUGAGAAAGGUUUCGGGGACGAAACCUCAUUUAAGGAGGGUAGACUUGUAACGCCCCAAAACUCGAGUCUAAAUAUUUUAUUUUGACAUUUUAUUAGGUUGGCAUGAGUAAGUAGGAUUUAUUGGUCAAGUGGGUUAUUUCACUAACAACCAAGUUAUCUAACUUGGUUAGAUAGUGUUGGCUAUAGAUUGAGAGUGGAAAACAAUGGGGCCAACUAUGUUUAAUUUACAAUCAUAAGGGACUAAUGUGGGUUAAAAGGAAAGUUGGGAUAUUAUAAGAAAAUAACAACACACACAAACACACAUUCGUGUGUGUUCUACGUCGAUCAGAAGCUCCCAAAGGAGCCAAACCCUAGCUCAAGCUUAUUUGCUCAAAUUGAAAGGGGAAUUCAACCCAAAUCUAAUGCAUGUACCCGAAUUCUUAGUCAUCUAGCCCUAAAGAUCACUUGGAACCACACUAGCAUGGACCAAGCAUGGAAGGCUAACGGGUCAAGAUGAGGCAAGCAAGCGGGUAUGAACACGGAUGCACAAAGUACUACACGGAUUUCUUCUGCUGCUAAGGAAGUGAAGCGGACAUAGAUCGAGUCAAGAGCAAGGAUUGUACGGAUAGAACGGCCACAUAGUUUGAAAUACGUAAUGCUUUGAAACGUUAAUUUAAUGUAAAUAUUGUAAACCUCUUCCAGUAAGCGCUUAACAUUUUCGUAUUUGAGCUUUUAUGUAAGUAAUGUGUCUAAUAAAGAAAGUAAUUUC
rnacentral:lncRNA from 1 species